UACGGUAGGGGGGCAAACACGUUGUCCGGGAAAUUAUUGGGGCGUAAAAGGGGCUCGCAGGCGGUUUCUUAAGUCUGGAUGUGAAAGCCCCCAGGCUCAACCCGGGGAGGGUCAUUUGAAACUGGGAAAACUUGAGUGCCAGAAGAGGAGAGUGGAAUUCCACGUGUAGCGGUGAAUAUGCGUAGAGAUGUGGAGGAACACCAGUGGCGAAGGCGACUCUCUGGUCUGUAACUGACGCUGAGGAGCGAAAACGUGGGGAGCGAACAGGAUUACAAACCCUGGUAGUCCACGCCGUAAACGAUGAGUGCUAAGCAUUUAGGGGGUUUCCGCCCCUUAGUGCUGCAGCUAACGCAUUAAGCACUCCGCCUGGGGAGUACGGUCGCAAGACUGAAACUCAAAGGAAUUGACGGGGGCCCGCACAAGCGGUGGAGCAUGUGGUUUAAUUCGAAGCAACGCGAAGAACCUUACCAGGUCUUGACAUCCUCUGACAACCCUAGAGAUAGGGCUUUCCCUUCGGGGACAGAGUGACAGGUGGUGCAUGGUUGUCGUCAGCUCGUGUCGUGAGAUGUUGGGUUAAGUCCCGCAACGAGCGCAACCGUUGAUCUUAGUUGCCAGCAUUCAGUUGGGCACUCUAAGGUGACUGCUGGUGACAAACCGGAGGAAGGUGGGGAUGACGUCAAAUCAUCAUGCCCCCUAUGACCUGGGCUACACACGUGCUACAAUGGACAGAACAAAGGGCUGCAAGACCGCAAGGUUUAGCCAAUCCCAUAAAUCUGUUCUCAGUUCGGAUCGCAGUCUGCAACUCGACUGCGUGAAGCUGGAAUCGCUAGUAAUCGCGGGAUCGAGCGAUGCGCUGCCCUAUGAAUAAAGUUUGCCCC
rnacentral:rRNA from 1 species